GUCGAGAAUUUUUCACAAUGGGCGCAAGCCUGAUGGAGCGACGCCGCGUGGGGGAUGAAUGGCUUCGGCCCGUAAACCCCUGUCAUUCGCGAUCAACCCUUAUUAUUUAAAAGAUGAUAAGCUGAUAGUAGCGGAAGAGGAAGGGACGGCUAACUCUGUGCCAGCAGCCGCGGUAAUACAGAGGUCCCAAGCGUUGUUCGGAUUCACUGGGCGUAAAGGGUGCGUAGGUGGUGAGGUAAGUCGGAUGUGAAAUCUCGGAGCUCAACUCCGAAAUGGCAUUGGAAACUACCUCGCUCGAGGGUUGGAGGGGGGACUGGAAUGCUUGGUGUAGCAGUGAAAUGCGUAGAUAUCAAGCGGAACACCAGUGGCGAAGGCGAGUCCCUGGACAACUCCUGACACUGAGGCACGAAAGCUAGGGGAGCAAACAGGAUUAGAAACCCUUGUAGUCC
rnacentral:rRNA from 1 species